GACGAACGCUGGCGGCGUGCCUAACACAUGCAAGUCGAACGGAGUUAUUUUGACGGAUUCCUUCGGGAUGACGGAUUUUUAACUUAGUGGCGGACGGGUGAGUAACGCGUGAGUAACCUGCCUCUAAGAGGGGAAUAACGUUCUGAAAAGAUCGCUAAUACCGCAUAACAUAUUGAAGCCGCAUGGCUUUGAUAUCAAAGAUUUAUCGCUUAGAGAUGGACUCGCGUCCGAUUAGCUUGUUGGCGGGGUAACGGCCCACCAAGGCGACGAUCGGUAGCCGGACUGAGAGGUUGAACGGCCACAUUGGGACUGAGACACGGCCCAG
rnacentral:rRNA from 1 species